rnacentral:rRNA from 1 species
GAUGAACGCUGGCGGCGUGCUUAACACAUGCAAGUCGAACGAUGAAGCCCAGCUUGCUGGGUGGUUUAGUGGCGAACGGGUGAGUAACACGUGAGUAACCUGCCCUUGACUCUGGGAUAAGCGCUGGAAACGGCGCCUAAUACCGGAUACGAGCUUUCACCGCAUGGUGAGUUGCUGGAAAGAAUUUCGGUAGAGGAUGGACUCGCGGGCUAUCAGGUAGUUGGUGAGGUAACGGCUCACCAAGCCGACGCCGGGUAGCCGGCCUGGGAGGGGGACCGGCCACACUGGGACUGAGAGACGGCCCAGACUCCUACGGGAGGCAGCAGUGGGGAAUAUUGCACAAUGGGCGCAAGCCUGAUGCGGCAACGCCGCGUGAGGGACGAAGGCCUUCGGGUCGUAAACCUCUUUUAGCAGGGAAGAAGCGAAAGUGACGGUACCUGCAGAAAAAGCACCGGCUAACUACGUG